rnacentral:pre_miRNA from 1 species
GGGGGUAGGUCGGUCCUGGCUGUGUCCCCGGCGCCCUGUGCUCCCCGGCCUGCGCUGUUGGAUUCGCGCUCCCGGCUGCGCAGCCCCCU